UCCCGUUGAUCCUGCGGGAGGUCGCUGCUAUUGGGAUUCGAUUUAGCCAUGCAAGUCAGGGGGUAGCAAUACCACCGGCGAACUGCUCAGUAACACGUUGAUAAUUUGCCCUUAGGUUGAGGAUAACAUUGGGAAACUGAUGCUAAAACUCAAUAGAAGAUUACAACUGGAAUGUGUUUUCUUCAAAAAGCAGUGCCUAAGGAUAAGUCAGCGGCUGAUUAGGUUGUUGGUGAGGUAAUGGCUCACCAAGCCAAUGAUCAGUAGGGGGGAUGAGAGUCCUAGCCCCGAGAAGGGCACUGAGAUACUGGCCCUAGCCCUAAGGGGUGCAGCAGGCGCGAAAACUUUACAAUGCACGAAAGUGUGAUAAGGGAAUCCCAAGUGCUAUACUAUGUAUAGCUUUUGCCAAGUGUAAGUAGCUUGGCGAAUAAGUGAUGGGCAAGACUGGUGCCAGCCGCCGCGGUAACACCAGCGUCACAAGUGGGGACCGCGAUUAUUGGGCCUAAAGCGUCCGUAGCAGGUUUAGUAAAUCUUUUGUGAAAUAGUUGUGCUUAACAUAACAACGUGCAAGAGACACUGCUUGACUAGAGACCGGGAGGAGGUAGGAGUAUUUUGUGGGGAGCGGUAAAAUGCGAUAAUCCACGAAGGACUACCUGUGGCGAAGGCGCCUACCUAGAACGGGUCUGACUGUGAGGGACGAAAGCUGAGGGAGCGAUCGGGAUUAGAUACCCCAGUAGUCUCAGCUGUAAACGCUGCGAGCUAUGUGUUGCACAUUCUUAGUGGAUGUGCAGUGCCUGAGCGAAGGUGUUAAGCUCGCCGCCUGGGAAGUACGGCCGCAAGACUGAAACUUAAAGGAAUUGGCGGGGGCUCACUACAAGGGGUGCGGCGUGCGGUUCAAUUGGAUUCUACGCCGGGAAUCUCACCAGGGGCGACGGCAGGAUGAAGGUCAGAUUGAAGGUCUUACCUAACGAGCCGAGAGGAGUUGCAUGGCCGUCGUCAGUUCGUGUCGUAAGAUGUCUUGUUAAGUCAAGCAACGAACAAGACCCAUGUUUACAUUUGCUAACAUCUAAGAGAUUAGGAAUGAGCACAAUGUAGAGACUGCCUUCGAAAGGAGGAGGAAGGUGUGGGCAACGAUAGGUCAGUAUGGCCCGAAUCUCCUGGGCUACACGCGCGCAACAAUGGUAAGGACAAUGGGAUGCAACUCUGAAAAGAGAAGCUAAUCCUCUAAACCUUAUCCUAGUCCAGAUUGAGGGCUGUAACUCGCCCUCAUGACGUUGGAAUCCCUAGUAAUCGGACCUCAACACAGUCCGGUGAACAUGUCCCUGAGCCUUGCACACACCGCCCGUCAAACCAACCGAGCAGGGUUUAAGU
rnacentral:rRNA from 1 species